AGACACAGAGCUGUGGACCCCUCAGAGGGUGGUGAAACAGCUUGCUGAUUGCUGUCAAGGUAUUCACUGACAAAAUGCAGUGGCAAUCACAAGCACGAAUCACGUACACUCCCUUUGUCAUAUGUCAUGGAUGGAGUUGUGUCCCCUCCCCUAAAUUCUUAUGUUGCAGCCCUAUCCCCCAACAUAGCUAUAUUUGGAGAUCAGGCCUGUGAAGAGGAAAUAAAGGAAAAGCCACUGAGGAUACGAGAAGAAGGCAGCCAUCCCCAAGCAGGAAGAGACACUCCACAGGAACUGAACUUGCCACCACCCUGAUAUCGAACUUCUAGUUUCCGUAACUAUGAGUUAUAGCAGAAGGCACACUUGUGUUCAGGACAACUCGGCAAAGCCUGUGGUGAAGAGCGACAGUGAGAGAGAGGAAUACAGAACAGCUGUGUUUAAGUUCCAUCACUGCAGCUGAUGUGUACCUGGGAGAACAGUGUUCUAAACGACAGGCUGGAAUGCAGUGGUGCAAUCACAGCUUACUAUAGCCUCAACUUCCUGGGCUCAAGCAAUCCUCUUGUCUCAGCCUCCUGAGUAGCUGGGACUACAGGCCUCAUUUGCUAGCUACAGAUUCUUGGGUAUGAUAUCUUGCUUCAGUGUAUGCUGUGAAUGAACUCCACACAUCCAAGAGGCAGAAGGAAACAGAAUCAUACGAAGUCUGCCUGAAGCUGUGGAAAGUGGUCAGGUUGGGUAGAAGUCACAGACCAUGAUAAGGUGGUAAGGACUUUGGUUUAAAUCUUUAUUUUUAUUUUUAAGGUUUUUUUUGUUUGUUUGUUUUGAGACGGAGUCUCGCUCCACCGCCCAGACUGGAGUGCAGGGGCGCGAUCACGGCUCACUGCAAGCUCCGCCUCCCGGGUUCACGCCAUUCUCCUGCCUCAGCCUCCCGAGUAGCUGGGACUACAGGUGUCCGCCACCACGCCCAGCUAAUUUUUUUGUAUUUUUAGUAGAGACGGGGUUUCACCGUGUUAGCCAGGAUGGUCUCCAUCUCCUGACCUCGUGAUCCGCCCGCCUCGGCCUCCCAAAGUGCUGGGAUUGCAGGCCUGAGCCACCGCGCCCGGCCUGACUUUGGCUUAAUUCUAAACAUAAUUGGAAGCCACUGGAGAGUUUUAAACAGGAGAGUGACUUCAUAUGAUUUAUUUUUCAAAACUCAUUCAGACCUUACACUCUACACACACACACACACACAAACUCAAAAUGAAUCAUAAACCUAAAUGCAGAAUGCUAAAUUAUAAAAUUUUUAGAAAAUAACAGGAGAACAUCUAGGUGACCUUGAGUUGGGUGAUGACUUUUUAGAUACCAUAUCGAAGGCACAAUCCAUGAAAGAAAUAAUUGGUAACUUGGAUUUCAUUAAAAUUAAAAACUUCUGUUCUGUGAAAGAUACUGUCAAGAGGAUGAGAAGACAGGCUGUGGCCUGGAAAAAAAAUAUGCAAGGUUAUUAUCCAAAAUAAGUAAAGAACUCUUAAAACCCAACAAUAAGAAGAUACCACAACCCAAUGAACAUAUGGACAAAUGAUCUGAACAGGCACCUCACCAAAGAAAAUAUACAGAUUGCAAAUACAUUUAUACAAAGAUGCUCCACAUCGUAUGUCAUUGGGAAAACGCAAAUUGAAAUAACGAGAUACCACUACACACCUAUUAGAAUUGCCAAAAUCCAGAACGCUGAAAACACCAAUUGCUGGCAAGAAUGUGGAGCCAUAGAGAUUCUCAUUCAUUGCCAGUGGGAAUGCAAAAUGGUUCAGCCACUUUGCAAGACGGUUUGGCAGUUUCUUACAAAACACUCUAACCAUUCGAUCCAGCAAUCAUCCUCAUUGGCAUUUACCCAAAUUGAGUCGAAAACUUAUGUUCACACAAAAACCUGUACACGGAUGUUUCUAGCAGCUUGUUCUUCAUAAUUGCCGAAACUUUAAAGCAACCAAGAUGUCCUUUAGUAGGUGAAUGUAUAAACUGUGGUACAUCCAGACAAUGGAAUAUUAUUCAGCAUUAAAAAGAAAUGAGCCAUUAAGCCACAAAAAGACAAGGAGGAACCUUACAUGCAUAUUACUAAGUGAAAGAAGCCAAUCUGAAAAAGCCACAGAUUGUACGAUUCCAAUCAUAUGACAUUCUGGAAAAGGCAAAACGAUGGAGACAAAUAGUUUUGCCUUUUCCAGAUCAGUGGUUGCCAAGGGUUGGGAAUAAAUAGGCCCAGCACGGAGAAAUUUUAGGGUAGUGAAACUGUAUGAUACUACAAUAGUGAAUACAUGUCAUUAUACAUUUGUCAAAACCAUAGAAUGUACAACAUCAACAGUGAACUCUAAUGUAAACUACAGAGUGCAGGUGAUAAUGGUAUAUCAGUGUCGGUUAAUCGAUUAUAACAAAUGUACCGCUCUGGUGGGGUUGGGGGCGGGGGGUUGAUAAUGGGGGUGGCUGUGGGCCGGGGAGAGCUUGCUGGGGAAUUCAGUACUUUCCACUUAAUUUUGCUGUGAACCAAAACUGCUCUAAAAAAAUAAAAUUGAUUAAAAAGCAACCAAACAAACAACCCAUUCAAGAAUAUUGAGCACUUUGAGAGUGGAUUAUCAGGGUGGGAACAGGGCAAAGCAGAAGCAAGGGGCCCAGUUUGAAGGUUACUGCAAUUAUUCAGGCAAGAGAUUAUGGUGACGUGGGUUUGCCUGCCAGCACUAGAGAUGAUGUGAAGUGGUUGCAUCUGGGAUGCAUUUUGAAGCUAUAAUCAACAAAACUUGCUGAUGGGUUGUGUCUGUGGGCAUGCUGAAGGAAACAGAAUAUCAAGGAUGACUCCCAUGCCAUCUGCUGAGAUGGGAAAGCCUGUGAAAAGAAGAGAGGAAUCCAAAAUGAUCCCUGGGUUGUAUUUACAUACAAUGUUUGUAUUUGCUGAAGUCUCCAAAGGGAAUGCAGCUCUUUAUGCAGUCUCUAUGAAGAUCACGAAUCAGAGCAUUUCCAACACAAAUGCCUGUAUAAUCAUUUGCCCUUGGCCUGUCCUUUUGUGCCAUUGUGUUUUUGCAUUAUCACUGGUGGUAUGAACAUAUCAUUGAAUCUGCAACAUUAAAACAUGAUGAUCAAUUCCUGAG